UUGAAUAAAACUUGGUUGGGUUGUUGCUGGCUCUCAGGAGCAUGUGCACGCUCACUCCAUUUUUUCACCACCUGUGCACACACUGUAGGCUUGAAUGAACUUUUCGAGGAAACUCGGUUUGAGAACUGCCAGACGCUGUUCUUGCAAUUCAGGUCUAUGUUUUAAACAUAUAUACUCCAUGACAAGUUAUAGAAUGUUAAUCAUGGGCCUUCUGUGCCUAUAAAAACUUAAUACAACUUUCAACAACGGAUCUCUUGGCUCUCGCAUCGAUGAAGAACGCAGCGAAAUGCGAUAAGUAAUGUGAAUUGCAGAAUUCAGUGAAUCAUCGAAUCUUUGAACGCACCUUGCGCUCCUUGGUAUUCCGAGGAGCAUGCCUGUUUGAGUGUCAUGAAAUUCUCAACCUUUCUGGCUUUUGUUAGCUGGCCAGGCUUGGAUCGUGGGAGUUGCUGGCUUAUUAGAAAUCAGCUCUUCUUAAACGCAUUAGCAAAAUUCUUGGCUGAACAUCUUUGGUAUGAUAAUUAUCUAUACUAUUGAGACACAGCCUGUUCCACUUUGUUCGGAUUUAGGCUCCUCUUGGAUAACAUCCAAGUGUUCGAUUCAACCGCUCUGAAGCAUCAGCUUAGGCACAGAUGUUAACUCGUCUGAUGGUGUUACAUACUUCAGGUUGACGAAGCGAGGCGUUCUUCGGAGCGCUCACGAGAGCAAGCACUGUAUCAAUCUGUUUUAGGAUUGUUUGUGCACUGUCAUAUUCCUGUACCUACCCUAGCUACUAUGUGGCUUUGAAGGGUCUGGUCAAACCAUGACCUGAACAUAUCCUUAGUGGGAGGAUCUUGCUUCUAACAUUGUUCCUAGGAACAAACAUUUUGACAAU
rnacentral:misc_RNA from 1 species